rfam:Gossypium hirsutum cultivar TM-1 chromosome 22, whole genome shotgun sequence
UGUUAAAAAUUUUAUAUGUUUUUAUUGUUAAAAAUUGGUGUAGUUGACGGUUGAAUCACCCCGCCACGUAUACCUGAUUCUGAUGUACAUGAAUGAGUUUUUAACAGUAGAAAUGAAUAGAAUUUUUAAUA